AGGACGAACGCUAGCGGCGUGCCUAAGGUAUGCAAGUCGAACGGGGAAGCAAUUCCUAGUGGCGAACGGUCGAGUAACACGUAGACAACCUGCCUCCCAGCGGGGGGAUACCAGCGGGAAGCCGCUGCUAAUACCGCAUUCGAUCCGGAAGGGUAGCCUUCUGGGAUGAAAGCCGCUUGCGGCACUGGGAGAUGGGUCUGCGGCCUAUCAGCUCGUUGGUGGGGUAACGGCCCACCAAGGCGACGACGGGUAGCUGGUCUGAGAGGAUGAUCAGCCGGACGGGGACUGAGACACGGCCCCGACUCCUUCGGGAGGCAGCAAUGAGGAAUCUUGCGCAAUGGGGGCAACCCUGACGCAGCGACGCGCGUGGGUGAGGAAGUCCGUUCGGAUAGUAAAGCCCUUUUCGUGGGGGACGAGGAACCGGACGGUACCCCGAGGAACGAACGCCCGGACUAACGUACGUGCCAGCGAGCCGAC
rnacentral:rRNA from 1 species